UUCCGGGCGCGCUCGUUCGGUUGCUGCUUCGCGCCGAGCGGUUCGGAUAAUGUGGACAUCAGGCGGGCGGUGUGCUGGCCGGACCGACUGCACUUCGCGGCAAAACAACUCUCUUAGUCAGGUGGAGGUGGAGAGCGCCUUCCGGCAAUUGUAUAGUUCUUUGUGUGGGACCAAAGAAAAAGUUGAGAAAACAGCACUGGAGAAUGACCAUUUUGCUACUACCACGAUAAGUGAAGAUUUGGACAAACCACUAGGAUUAGAGAAUUUAACAGUGUGUUCCAUCCUAUCUGAGCAACUGGCGCUGAGGAAUAGUGACAGUGGCAGAGCCACCACUAGUAUUUGCAGCAGUGAAUCUCAAACUGCAAGACACUUUGCUAAAGAAUCCAAUCUAAAAUUGAACACACUUCUGACAAAGGCAAAAGAGAAACAGAUGUCAAAUGGUGACACUCUGUUCUUUACUGUAAAGCAACCAGUUUCCCAAAUAGAAGGUUCAACUCUCCAAAACCAUGAUGGGAAUGAGGAAGAAAAUUUCGAAUUAUCCAGGGAAGAUUAUGAUUGUAUCUCAACAAACUCUGGAGAGGAUUACAGAGAAACGGUCACCUGUGAAGCUUGCUCAAAUGUGUAUUGGAAAGUGAUGAAUAGAAAGAGAACUAAGAAGAGACAUGUAUCACACAAGAAAUCACCAUAUGAUCCCACUUCUUUAUCAUGUGACCAAUGGAUUUUGAAAAAGCCCUUGCUGCCUAGAGGUCCUGUACAGAGAAGUAAAAGAGAAAGCUGGUAUUUGAAAUCUAUUGGCACAUCUUCUCAGAGUGAAGCUACAGGAAAAUGGAUUCCACAGUGUUCUCGACCUCAUGUGUUUCUGCAGAGAUGGUGCCAGACCUGGAGAGUUGUCACCAGCACAGUGUUUGCAAAAUUCUGCAAAUUGUUUGGAGAAACAUACUAAUGUCAUCAGCCUUUCCCAGGAUGAUAUCCCCGGAAUUGAGGCAGUUGUCAUAUAUGACCAACUUGAAUAUGACACAGACUUGUGAAACAAGAGCUCUACUUCAAGCUCUACAAUAGUGAGCAAUUGUUCGGAUGGCAGAGAAAAUGCUAUGAGCAUGCUUUGAAAGCCUCCCUGAACAAAUUCACCAUCCCCACUGAUGUGGGAAUCGCUUGCCAUGGAAUGCAAAAAGAGUGCGCAGAUUCCAGAGCAUCCGACACACCUGCCUCAUGAGUUCAUAAGAUUUCGGAGCAGAAUUAGGCCAUUUGCCCCAUUGAGUCUGCUCUGACAUUCAGUCAUGGCUGAUAUGCUUCUCACCCCCAGCCACACUCUCCUGUUCCUGACCACUGGCUGAAUUCAAGUUGAUUCACUGGAUGAGCUUGUCGAAAUUUAAUCAGCAGCACCUCCCAGAAAAUGAAUUCAGAAGGGACUUGGGAAUGCCAUUACCUUGAGACUAUACACCAUUUCAACUUUGAUACAUAAUAUUUUUGAACUGUUGUUGGGUCUCAGUCUUGGAACGUCUGAUUUAUAGUAGUGUGGGAAUUACCUUUAUCACAUGACACUGCAGUUCAGGGACUGUCAUGCAUUUUGUAUAAUGGGUCCACAAAAUUACACACUGACCACCAAUUUACAUAAAUUAACAUUGCUUCUUUGCUUGUGAAUGCCACGUGACUAUUCAUAAUGACUCCAAAAUGUGACUUGGCUGGAACACGUGUUUGAACCAUAAGGUGUCUAUGUUCUUUCAUAUCUUUAAUAUCUUUUCCCAUUAAGCAUAUUCUCCUUUUGCAUUUUGUGUCACAAAAUAUUUCACACAUUAAACUGCAGAUGCCAUCAGCCUGCCCAUCCUGCUAAUCUGUUUGUAUGGUCAUGAAGUAAUUUGCAGUCUCCUCACUGUUUGUCAUACAUCCCACUUUUGAAUCAUAGGCACAUUUAAAAUGUGUACUUAUGCCAAUGUCUAAAUUAAAUAUGUAAAAAUGUUUAACAUAAACAAAUAAAUAAAGUGAAACUAAGAA